rnacentral:rRNA from 1 species
CCUACGGGGGGCAGCAGUGGGGAAUAUUGCGCAAUGGGCGAAAGCCUGACGCAGCCACGCCGCGUGAGCGAUGAAGGUCUUCGGAUCGUAAAGCUCUGUGGGGGGAGAAGAAUCAAGCCGGUGAAGAGCCGGCCCUGACGGUAUCCCCUUAGCAAGCACCGGCUAACUCCGUGCCAGCAGCCGCGGUAAUACGGAGGGUGCAAACGUUGCUCGGAAUUAUUGGGCGUAAAGCCCACGUAGGCGGCCUAUCAAGUCGGAUGGGAAAGCCCUGGGCUCAACCCAGGAAGUGCAUCCGAAACUGACAGGCUUGAAUGCCGGAGGGGGCCAGAGAAUUCCCGGUGUAGAGGUGAAAUUCGUAGAUAUCGGGAGGAAUACCAGUGGCGAAGGCGCUGGGCUGGACGGCGAUUGACGCUGAGGGGCGAAAGCGUGGGGAGCAAACAGGAUUAGAUACCCCGGUAGUCCG